AACGAACGCUGGCGGCAUGCCUAACACAUGCAAGUCGAACGAGACCUUCGGGUCUAGUGGCGCACGGGUGCGUAACGCGUGGGAACCUGCCCUUAGGUUCGGAAUAACUCCCCGAAAGGGGUGCUAAUACCGGAUAAUGUCUUCUGACCAAAGAUUUAUCGCCUUUGGAGGGGCCCGCGUUGGAUUAGCUAGUUGGUAGGGUAAAAGCCGACCAAGGCGACGAUCCAUAGCUGGUCUGAGAGGAUGAUCAGCCACACUGGGACUGAGACACGGCCCAGACUACUACGGGAGGAAGCAGGGGGGAAUAUUGGACAAUGGGCGAAAGCGUGAUCCAGCAAUGCGGGGUGAGUGAUGAAGGCCUUAGGGUUGUAAAGCUCUUUUACCCGGGAUGAUAAUGACAGUACCGGGAGAAUAAGCUCCGGCUAACUACGUG
rnacentral:rRNA from 1 species